rnacentral:rRNA from 1 species
UACAGAGGGUGCGAGCGUUAAUCGGAAUUACUGGGCGUAAAGCGCAUGUAGUCGGCUUUGCAAGUCGGUUGUGAAAUCCCCGGGCUCAACCUGGGAACUGCAUCCGAGACUGCAUUGCUAGAGUAUGGGAGAGGAAAGCGGAAUUUCUGGUGUAGCAGUGAAAUGCGUAGAUAUUAGAAGGAACAUCAGUGGCGAAGGCGGCUUUCUGGACCAAUACUGACGAUCAGGUGCGAAAGCGUGGGGAGCAAACAGG